AGUUUAAAGAUGUGUUACAUCAAUUACAUUCAAAUUAUAUUAUAUGAGUUUAUGUAAAGCAGACGGACGCCCGAAGGCUUCCGUCUCACGAGUGCACAGGUGUGUGUGGAUGAAAGAGAAGGCGUGCACAUGCCCCCGAAAGGACCAGCGACAACCGACUCUACAUUCAUUCAAUAAUGAUCCUUCCGCAGGUUCACCUACGGAAA
rnacentral:misc_RNA from 1 species